AACUUGAAAGUAUUUGUGUAAAGAAUAAGAAGUUUUUCAACUUUGAUGAUAGCCAAUGGCCACAUUUGAUUAUUGAUCUACUUUAUUCUCACAGAGAAAAAGCCAUCUACUAGUAUUUUUAUUCAAGCAUAAUUUAUAAGAAGAAGACCUCAGGUUAUUAUCACGAGGAACAGCGACGAAACGAAGAAAUGGCUUGGGGAAGAAGUAAUGAAAUAAGACCUUGAAUUGGUCGUCGACUCGGUGUUUUCUUUUCAAGUUUACGUUUUGAUGCCAUCUAUAAUGAAAGAUAUGAAUACCAGCGGUGAUAAUCUAAAUCCGACCAACAAACCUAAGCCCAAAGCGACGCGACCCAAGCCAGUUUACUUAUGGACCACAUCUGAUGUUCAAAAAUGGUUUCGACGUCAUUGCAGCGAUUUUUACACAGUGUACAGUGACUUGAUGAUUCAG